rnacentral:rRNA from 1 species
UUACCGGGGAGAAAGAACAACAGGGAUGCCCUAGUAACGGCGAGUGAAGCGGCAACAGCUCAAAUUUGAAAUCUGGCUCUCUUUGGGGGUCCGAGUUGUAAUUUGCAGAGGAUGCUUUGGCAUUGGCGGCGGUCUAAGUUCCUUGGAACAGGACAUCACAGAGGGUGAGAAUCCCGUACGUGGUCGCCUGCCUUUGCCGUGUAAAGCUCCUUCGACGAGUCGAGUUGUUUGGGAAUGCAGCUCUAAAUGGGAGGUAAAUUUCUUCUAAAGCUAAAUACUGGCCAGAGACCGAUAGCGCACAAGUAGAGUGAUCGAAAGAUGAAAAGUACUUUGGAAAGAGAGUCAAAAAGCACGUGAAAUUGUUGAAAGGGAAGCGCUUGCAGCCAGACUUGCCCGCAGUUGCUCACCUAGGCUUUGGCCUGGGGCACUCUUCUGCGGGCAGGCCAGCAUCAGUUUGGGCGGUUGGAUAAAGGCCUCUGUCACGUAUCUCCCUUCGGGGUGACCUUAUAGGGGAGGCGCAAUGCAACCAGCCCGGACUGAGGUCCGCGCAUCUGCUAGGAUGCUGGCGUAAUGGCUGUAAGCGGCCCGUCUUGAAACACGGACCAAGGAGUCUAACAUCUAUGCGAGUGUUUGGGUGUCAAGCCCGAGCGCGCAAUGAAAGUGAACGGAGGUGGGAACCCUUUGGGUGCACCAUCGACCGAUCCUGAUGUCUUCGGAUGGAUUUGAGUAAGAGCAUAGCUGUUGGGACCCGAAAGAUGGUGAACUAUGCUUGAAUAGGGUGAAGCCAGAGGAACUCUGGUGGAGGCUCGCAGCGGUUCUGACGUGCAAAUCGAUCGUCAAUUUGGGCAUAGGGCGAAGACUAAUCGAACCAUCUAGUAGCUGGUUCUGCGAGUUCUCCCCUCAGGAAAACAACUGUUCCUAGAUGGUUCGAAUUAGCCUUCGCCCCUUGCCAAAUUUGACGAUCGAAUUGCACGUCGAUCGCUUGCUGACCUCCAGAGUCCCUGGUUCCUUAAUCAAGUCCUAGGUCACUCUUUCGGGUCCCAAGACUAUACUC